UACAGAGGGUGCAGCGUGUUCGGAUUGAUUGGUGCGUAAAGCGCGUGUAGGCGGCUUUGCAAGUCGGGUGUGAAAGCCCUCAGCUCAACUGAGGAAGUGCGCCCGAAACUGCAGAGCUUGAGUGCCGGAGAGGGUGGCGGAAUUCCCCAAGUAGAGGUGAAAUUCGUAGAUAUGGGGAGGAACACCGGUGGCGAAGGCGGCCGACCUGGACGGUAACUGACGCUGAGACGCGAAGCGUGGGAGCAAACAGG
rnacentral:rRNA from 1 species